CUGGCCUCUUCCACAACUGGAGUGGAGCCAUCAAAAUUAAGCUGAUUAGAAGGUAAGAACUACCAAACCAUGGAAUAUCAUCCCUUCAGCUACUGACACUUGCAUCCCUGCUUAGAUAAGUUCUCUAUCAGAUCAAAAUGCAACAU